UAAUAGUUAGUUUUUUAAUUGGAAUCUUGUAUGAAUGGUUGGACAAAAGAAAUUCUGUCUCUAUAAUUUUUAUUGAAUUUAACUUCUGAGUGAAAAGGCUUAGAUAUUUUAAAAAGACGAUAAGACCCUAUAAAGCUUUAUAGUUAAAUUUACUUGAUUAAAUUAAUAAAUAAAAUUUUAGUGGAUUAAACUAUUUUAUUGGGGAGAUAAAAUUAUAAUUUUAAAUAACUGUUAAUGAAUAAUACAAUUUUAUAGGUGAAUGAUAAUAGUAGUAGAUCCUUUAUAGAGAUUAAAAGUUUAAGUUACUUUAGGGAUAACAGCGUUAUUUUUUUUGAGAGUUCAUAUCGAAAAAAAAGAUUGCGACCUCGAUGUUGAAUUAAAAUUUCUAAAUAAUUGCAGAAGUUAUUUUAGAGGGUCUGUUCGACCUUUAAAUUUUUAC
rnacentral:rRNA from 1 species